CCUUUGUAAAUGCAUAAUUUUUAUUAAAGUGUUAAAAUAGUUUUUUGAUUUGUUUAGGGACUUUUUUUGCUUCACAAGACUGACAGCCCACCAUAGGUAGUAUAGGUCUACUUUGUGGCAUUUUAAUGCAGCCAAUACCGUGCUUUUCAAUUUUGAUGAUGUCCCUUUGCAGUUUUAAGCAUUUUAAUAUUAUUUUUACAUAGGUUUUUGGUCUGGUGUUAUUUCACACUUAAAGGAACACUUUAGGGUCAGGAACACAAAUGUGUAUUCCUGACCCUAUAGUGUUAAAAAAAGCAUUCUAGCCCCCCUUUUAGUCAGUAGUUCUUAUAUCUCAAGCUUUAGCUAUUUGCCUAUCAGUUUCUUAAUUGUUUCAUCAAAUGUAAAAAUAUAAUCAUGGAGAUGGAUAGGGGAAAAGGGACUGUCACAAUAUGGAGAAUUUUACUGAAAUAUUUCAGCUAUCAAAUCAAAGAAUAUUAUAAAACGUGCAUCUAAAUUUAGUAUGCACA